UACGUAGGGUGCAAGCGUUAAUCGGAAUUACUGGGCGUAAAGCGUGCGCAGGCGGUUUUGUAAGUUUGUCGUGAAAUCCCCGGGCUCAACCUGGGAAUGGCGAUGAAGACUGCAAGGCUAGAGUUUGGCAGAGGGGGGUAGAAUUCCACGUGUAGCAGUGAAAUGCGUAGAUAUGUGGAGGAACACCGAUGGCGAAGGCAGCCCCCUGGGUCAAGAUUGACGCUCAUGCACGAAAGCGUGGGGAGCAAACAGG
rnacentral:rRNA from 1 species